rnacentral:lncRNA from 1 species
CACCAAUCUGGUUACAGUGUAUAUGCAGUUCAAAGCCUAUCCAUUUUUCAAUUCCACAGUUGUAUCAAAUUCAAAUUACAGAAUAAUCUUGUUUAGACCCAGUUGUACUUAGUAUGAAGAAAGGGAACUUGUUAUUCUCGGGUCAUGUGAGUCUUGACACUGGGUGAGUGAAUCUCAUUUUCAAGGAACUCCUCUCUUUCCCUGUUCUUUCCUAGGCUCUAGUUGUUGCUGAUUUCAUAGAAAUACACCCCUGUGCACACACACAUACAGUGUGGCUAGUGUAUUGAAGGCCCUAACCCCACUGUGUUCACAACUCAGGCUUUUGCAAAAUGUCUUAGUUAAGUUUCCAUUGCUGUGACAAAACCCUAUAACCAAAAGCCACUUGGGGAAGAAAUGGUUUAUUUAGUUGACAUGUUUUUCAGGGCAGGAACUCAAGGCAGCAGCAUGGAAGCAGGGAUUAUAGCCAUGACAGAAUGUUACUUACAGGCUUGCUCACCAUGGUUUGCUCAGCCUACUGUUUUAGACCACCCAAGACCACCUGCCCAGGAGUGGCCAGGGCAAUCAUUUGUCAAGAAAAUGCCCUGCAGAAUUGUCUACAGGCAAUCCAAUGGAAGCAUUUUCUAAAUCAAGGCUUCUCUUCUCAGAGUCUAACUUGUGUCAGGGUGACAAAAUGUGAGCCAGGACAGAAGUGAUUGUAUCCUUGGUACCUUAACAUCAAUGGAUUAGUCUACUGAUGGGAUUCAUCAUCUCAUGGCAUUACUGUGAAGUGUCAGAAACUAAAAGGAAUUGUGUCACUAGGAGAAUUCUCUAGAAAGAAAUCUUGUUAUGAGUCCAUUUCCCAUCAUGCCCAUUUGUUUUUUGGCUACCACAAGGUUAGCAGCUUUGUUCAACAAUGCCGUGAUCGGAUGGAUGUUGCCAUUAGCCCAGAGACAGUGCAAGCUGCCAGUCGCUGGAACUUCUGAAACAAUGAGCCAAAGUGAAUCACCUUCCUUCAAACUGUUCCAGGUCUUUGUCAUAGCAACAGGAAGAGUGACAGCCAUACGAUACUGAUAUCCAGAGAAGUAAGGUUGCUUCUAUAACCCUGUGUAAUGUUCAGAAGUCUUUGGAACUGAACUUCUGUGGGAGAAGAAAAAUAUGUGGACCAGUGGAGUAGAAGUCUCUAAACAGAAGCUACUGGGAAAUUCUUGGGAUGGCUUAGAAGACUAAAAGAUGGGACGAACUCAGCCAGAAAGGUGAUCAUGAGGCUUCAGAUGGGAAUAGGGAUUUCUGUUUUCCUUUAUAUGUAUAUGGAUGGUGCCUUCCCUUAUCAUUGUGUAUUUCUCAAGGCAGGGUCUUUUUCAGAACUAAGAGCUCACCAAAUCUAGCUAUGCUAGCUAGUCAUCUUGCUCCAUGAAUUCUGUUUUCCUUGGAAGCCCAGGAUUGCAUGUAGCUGUCAUGCCUACUCAGCUUUAGGUGGGUUCUGGGGAUCUGAACUCUGGUCCUCAUGCUUGUGUGGCAGUAUGUGUCCCCUGAGCCAUCUAUCAAGCCCUCAUUUUGAUUUUAUUGGGAUUCAUAGCUAAAAUAAUAUCAGAGGAAACUUUAGACAUGUACUUCUGAGCAAUUUUAGAACUGUUGUCUUUGUAGAAGAUGCAGUAUAUUUUUUAUUUUUCAGCAUAAUUUUGCCAUAUUAGGCAUAAUUAUGACUUUGUUAAUGUCUUUAGUCAAGUAUUGUUUGAGAUCUGUUUUGGUGUCAUAAGGGACAUCUGAUGGCUAUUCAUUAUUGUCAACUUGAUUUACAGAGGAACACUUAGGAAAUUACUGAAGUAUGCCUGUGAAUGUGAAGUGACAAGACUUUUCUUGGGAAGACUCAACACAACACCUAGGGAGGAAACCCACAGGCAGACCAAAGUCCAGCUUGGCGAAUCAUGAGUUUUAUUGGGGUCAUUUAUAUGAAUAAAGGUUAAGGGUUACUUAUAGGAGGAGAAAUGACUCAAAGACACAGCACCACCAAAGUCCACCCCAGCACGAGUGACUGGAGCACACUGAACAACUUACAGGCACCUCAACAGGUUGUAUAGUGUUCUUCCCAAAUGACUCAGUUGGCCUAAAUCUCUUCUAGGCAGCUUGACUGGAUUUUACUUCUUCCAGGUAGCAGGUCUGGUCUCAGACUCUUCUUUGUGGGUUGGUUUUUCUAAGAGUGAUUCUCAGCAACUUUGUUACUUACUCUAGGAAGGGCCUAGAACAUUUAGUCAGUUUCAGGGACUUCCUGAAGCUAUUUUAAGCCAUUUGCCUGCCUUGCAUUUUCCUGCAAGAAGCAACAUUUCAACCUCGGAGUAAACUGUGAUAAGAUAGUGAGAAGUUUCCCGGUCAGAUCAUGAAGCCUCUGUCAUGAUCAAUAAUUUAAUUCACUGAUUGUCUGAAGAUUUGAAUACACUUCAAAUCUGAAUACAUUUGAAUACAUUUGAAGGUGACAGAAGUAUGGAAGGCAAGGGCUUGGUUAGAGUAGCUAAGUUUCUCAAAGCAUGUCUUUGAAGGGUCUCUUUUGGCCCGGGUCCAUUUGCAUUGCUUCCUGGAUGUGUGAGAUGGGCCCCUUUUCUCUGCCACGCCUAUCUUAAAUUUUGUUUCUGUUCUUCCACAGGCCUAAAAGUAUCAGAGUCCCCAGUCAUAGGUAGAAAGCUCUGAAACCACAAAUCCAAACAUUGUUCCCUCAGGAACUUUUCACGGAGAUUGAAGACUUUCUGACGCAUUGUUUCUCACCGUUUCCCUCCUCCAAAUUUUCAGUAUUUCCUGUGUGUCAAAGCAAAGAUUCUCAUCAAGUCUUCUGCAUACUACACCAGUCCCUGAAGCAAGCCCGCUCGUAACAAGACAGCUCUCUCAUCACAUCAAAGAAGCUUUAUGAAGUAGAUAGAGA